rnacentral:lncRNA from 7 species
AAACCCCAGGCAGAAAGCUGUUGCUGAGUUGUGUUAUACUUAGUGCUUUGUCCUUUCAACAAUAUCUUCCAGAAGUCAGUCAGAAAAUUCGAAUAGUCUUCAAUGGGCUUUCAUCCAAGCCUGCAGAGAGAGCAAUAGAGAAAAUUCAGUUGCAGAGACAAAUCAACAGAGGGGAAAGAGCAAUCACCUGAAAGAUCCCUGAACUACGCAGAAUGAUGAGCACCACUCACACAGCAGCAGUAAUGGGAGCUACAACUGGCACAGACCCACGGUCCCCUGCUUAUUUCAAAGAUGAAAAAAGAAGAGCAGCAUCAAGGGAAUCAAUCUCUUGGGACGUCCUGUGGUCUGAAUGUACAUCUUGUAUUGCUGAGAUAGGAGCUGGGGAUGCGGUGUGUAAAGAUGUGAAUUUUACAAGGAAAAAGAAUCAUCCAGGAGACCUCUGGGAAAUCACAGAAUGUGUGUACACCUCAUGGUCUCCUAGGAAAGCUGGCCUUCAGUAGAAAUUUUGCCAAGGUUUUGAAAGAUUUUAUUAGAAAAGAUUUGGAUCCUGCACAAUUAUCAGUUCUGAAAGGUGCUUUGCCCACCUCCUCCAGUGGAAGUGCUAUUGAUCAUCUCACAAAAGGAAGGCAUGCACUUACAGAGAGAAAAGUUGAGCACUGUUCUGCUUGGCCAGAUGAGCCACUGUUCUGCUCCAAUGCCUUGCACCAAGGGAAGUCACAUCCCAUGAGGAGCUGACUCUUUUUGGAGCCAUCACCUCAUUUCCUAUGCUGUGUGAUGCCUUCAGCCUCAGCCGUGGGGAAUGUGAUGCGCACCAGUGUUGACAGACUGGCCGGAAGACUGAGGUGUGAGACAAACCCAUGAGCUUCACACAGCCCAGCCGGAUCUAGACCAGCACGUGUGCAGCUACAUUUUCCUCUACCCUGAAGGACAAAAGAAUUGAUCCAUGACAUCUCAUCUUCAUCCCACCUCCAAAUGUCAUCCAGCCAUGCUGCAACAGCUUUACUGCACAGAAGCUCCACAUCACAGUUGUGAUGAUGUGCCAUUACACUUCGGUGGCAUGUCACCAGAUCAGGAACUCAUGAGGUAUCCAACUCCUUCUCAGCUUUGAUUUGCAUCAACCAAAACCUCUCAAAUUGAACAAAACCUGAAGCCAAACUUAAUUGCCUAAGUCCCUGGAGUCGUAUGAGUAACACCACAAUGCAUUUAGCUCUUUCCAGAAGAACUGAUGUUAUUCUAAGAAUCCACAGAUAAGGUCAAAACCUGCACAGUUUGGAACUUGGCUGAACCACCAUGUUACGUCUUGAGCCAGAACUGAAUCUGGGGUGUUGGGUCAAGGCCUCCUGCUCAGCCCUGCAUUUCCACAGGAUGCUCCUCCAGCUCUACAAGUCUGAAGGAUGAGAGUUUUGUUUAUUCCUUCUGAAAGGCCAGAACUGUCACCAGCAGUUUUGACAAAGAAUUUUAACUAAAAACAGUGAAAUUAAGAGAAAUAACCCACUACUCUCCUCCCAUUGUGUUCAGGCUUUAUCACCAGCUCAGCUGAUCCUACAUUCAUACGUUCUGCCCUAAAUAUAUCCAAACACACACACACACACUGCAAAACUUUACACAGCUUUUGGUUAUUUCAGGUUUUUUGUCUGUCUGAUAACUCAACCCUUUUAAAUCUAUCUUUGUAAACUGAGAGCAGAUUUUUGUGAGUUCUGGACAUACUGCAAUAAAAUUUUUCUCAUCU